GAUGAACGCUGGCGGCGUGCCUAAUACAUGCAAGUCGAGCGAACGGACGAGAAGCUUGCUUCUCUGAUGUUAGCGGCGGACGGGUGAGUAACACGUGGAUAACCUACCUAUAAGACUGGGAUAACUUCGGGGAACCGUAGCUAAUACCGGAUAAUAUUUUGAACCGCAUGGUUCAAAAGUGAAAGACGGUUUUGCUGUCACUUAUAGAUGGAUCCGCGCUGCAUUAGCUAGUUGGUAAGGUAACGGCUUACCAAGGCAACGAUGCAUAGCCGACCUGAGAGGGUGAUCGGCCACACUGGAACUGAGACACGGUCCAGACUCCUACGGGAGGCAGCAGUAGGGAAUCUUCCGCAAUGGGCGAAAGCCUGACGGAGCAACGCCGCGUGAGUGAUGAAGGUCUUCGGAUCGUAAAACUCUGUUAUUAGGGAAGAACAAAUGUGUAAGUAACUGUGCACAUCUUGACGGUACCUAAUCAGAAAGCCACGGCUAACUACGUG
rnacentral:rRNA from 1 species